UCGGUUCCGGUUCACGUCUCGCAUCGCCAGGCGACCCGGAGCC
rnacentral:ncRNA from 1 species